rnacentral:rRNA from 1 species
GGAGAAUAUUGCACAAUGGGGGAAACCCUGAUGCAGCAACGCCGCGUGAGUGAUGACGGUCUUUGGAUUGUAAAGCUCUGUCUUUAGGGACGAUAAUGACGGUACCUAAGGAGGAAGCCACGGCUAACUACGUGCCAGCAGCCGCGGUAAUACGUAGGUGGCAAGCGUUGUCCGGAUUUACUGGGCGUAAAGGGAGCGUAGGCGGAUUUUUAAGUGGGAUGUGAAAUACCCGGGCUCAACCUGGGUGCUGCAUUCCAAACUGGAAGUCUAGAGUACAGGAGGGGAAAGCGGAAUUCCUAGUGUAGCGGUGAAAUGCGUAGAGAUUAGGAAGAACACCAGUGGCGAAGGCGGCUUUCUGGACUGUAACUGACGCUGAGGCUCGAAAGCGUGGGGAGCAAAC